rnacentral:rRNA from 1 species
UAUUUGGUCGUAGACCCGAAACCAGGUGAUCUACCCUUGGUCAGGUUGAAGUUCAGGUAACACUGAAUGGAGGACCGAACCGACUUACGUUGAAAAGUGAGCGGAUGAACUGAGGGUAGCGGAGAAAUUCCAAUCGAACCUGGAGAUAGCUGGUUCUCUCCGAAAUAGCUUUAGGGCUAGCCUCAAGUGAUGAUUAUUGGAGGUAGAGCACUGUUUGGACGAGGGGCCCCUCUCGGGUUACCGAAUUCAGACAAACUCCGAAUGCCAAUUAAUUUAACUUGGGAGUCAGAACAUGGGUGAUAAGGUCCGUGUUCGAAAGGGAAACAGCCCAGACCACCAGCUAAGGUCCCAAAAUAUAUGUUAAGUGGAAAAGGAUGUGGCGUUGCCCAGACAACUAGGAUGUUGGCUUAGAAGCAGCCAUCAUUUAAAGAGUGCGUAAUAGCUCACUAGUCGAGUGACACUGCGCCGAAAAUGUACCGGGGCUAAACAUAUUACCGAAGCUGUGGAUUGUCCUUUGGACAAUGGUAGGAGAGCGUUCUAAGGGCGUUGAAGCAUGAUCGUAAGGACAUGUGGAGCGCUUAGAAGUGAGAAUGCCGGUGUGAGUAGCGAAAGACGGGUGAGAAUCCCGUCCACCGAUUGACUAAGGUUUCCAGAGGAAGGCUCGUCCGCUCUGGGUUAGUCGGGUCCUAAGCUGAGGCCGACAGGCGUAGGCGAUGGAUAACAGGUUGAUAUUCCUGUACCACCUAUAAUC